AGUGGUAAAUAAAGCAUAUUGGUGCUGGACUGAGAACCAGAACUGACACAUCUCCCCUGCAAGGAGGAGGGAGCUCUGCCCUUUGAGUCAUCCAUGAGACUCUUGAAGUGUCAUAACAAGCUACAGAACACAAGAGCAUGCCUGUGGGCAGUAGGCACUUCCACUUAGCCAUCCAAACUGCCUGAAAAGAAGCUGCUGGGCACACCUGCCCUGCUGGCAAACGACUGUCUCAUCAUGGCAAUGGAAGCCAGGGGCAGGGUGCCCACAGGUAACACCUCCAGGGGCCUCUCCCAGCUCCCCGGUGGCUUUGCCAAGUGUCCCAUCUGCUGGGAGCACACACGGAGAUGUGCAACUGAAAGGGUCUCACCUAACGCUGCCACUCCCCUGUAGGGGCUGCAGGUGGCUGGCGCACGCUCCCCUCUAACACCCAUUUCAAGGUCACUUUUGUCCACCCCAAGCACACACUUAGACAUACUCAGAAAUUGCUGCUCAUUGCCAGCCCAGUCUUCCUUCCUUCCAGCUACUUAACAAUUUUCCUAUACAUUGGUUUCUGUAAUUUAGCGUUGAAUUUAAUAAAAUGAAGCUGAGAGAUUGAACUAACCCAAGAACAUUAUAUUUGGCAGCAGAACAAAGACUAGUCCCAGCACUUUCUUUAAUUUGACUACUAAUAUGGAAAUAAUAAUGUUCGCGUGGUGGUUUGAAAAAUAAGCUUUGUUUCUCCAUAAAUAAAAGUUGUUCUCUACUCCA